rnacentral:hammerhead_ribozyme from 1 species
GCGAAACCGCCCCACGGGGCGGUCGCCGGGGUGUGGUGGCCUCGGCCUGAUGAAGCAGCCA